AGAGUUUGAUCCUGGCUUAGGAUGAACGCUAGCUACAGGCUUAACACAUGCAAGUCGAGGGGCAGCAUGGGAUUAGCUUGCUAAUCUGAUGGCGACCGGUGCACGGGUGAGUAACGCGUAUCCAACUUCCCCCUUACUCAGGGAUAGCCCGGUGAAAACCGGAUUAACACCUGAUAGUUUCACUAGAUGGCAUCUGACGGUGAAUAAAGCUUUGUGGUAAGGGAUGGGGAUGCGUCUGAUUAGCUUGUUGGCGGGGUAACGGCCCACCAAGGCAACGAUCAGUAGGGGUUCUGAGAGGAAGGUCCCCCACAUUGGAACUGAGACACGGUCCAAACUCCUACGGGAGGCAGCAGUGAGGAAUAUUGGUCAAUGGGCGAGAGCCUGAACCAGCCAAAGUAGCGUGCAGGAUGACGGCCCUAUGGGUUGUAAACUGCCUUUGUACGGGAAUAAAGUGACCUACGUGUAGGUUUUGCAUGUACCGUAAGAAUAAGGACCGGCUAAUUCCGUGCCAGCCGCCGC
rnacentral:rRNA from 1 species